UGCUAUACCCAUAUCACCCUGAACAUGCCCGAUCUCGUUUGAUCUGGGAAGCUAACCAGGGUCGGGCCUGGUUAGUAC
rnacentral:rRNA from 1 species